GCCCGCUCAGAAACUACAAAGGAAUUCGACGGGGCCCGCACAAGCGGAGGAGCAUGUGGUUUAAUUCGAUGAUACGCGAGGAACCUUACCUGGGCUCGAACGUAAGAUGACUGUAGGUGAAAGCUUACAUCUCUUCGGAGCAUUUUACGAGGUGCUGCAUGGUUGUCGUCAGCUCGUGCCGUGAGGUGUCGGGUUAAGUCCCAUAACGAGCGCAACCCUACCUUUAGUUGCCAUCAGGUAAUGCUGGGGACUCUAAAGGAACUGCCUACGCAAGUAGUGAGGAAGGCGGGGAUGACGUCAAAUCAGCACGGCCCUUACGUCCAGGGCUACACACGUGCUACAAUGGCCGAUACAGAGGGCAGCUACCUGGUGACAGGAUGCAAAUCUCCAAAGUCGGUCUCAGUUCGGAUCGGAGUCUGCAACCCGACUCCGUGAAGUUGGAUUCGCUAGUAAUCGCGCAUCAGCCAUGGCGCGGUGAAUACGUUCCCGGGCCUU
rnacentral:rRNA from 1 species